rnacentral:rRNA from 1 species
UACGUAGGGGGCAAGCGUUGUCCGGAAUCAUUGGGCGUAAAGCGCGUGUAGGCGGCCCGGUAAGUCCGCUGUGAAAGUCGGGGGCUCAACCCUCGGAUGCCGGUGGAUACUGUCGGGCUAGAGUGCGGGAGAGGCGAGUGGAAUUCCGUGGUGAUAGCGGUGAAAUGCGCAGAUAUCAGGAGGAACACCUAUAGCGAAGGCAGCUCGCUGGGACGACACUGACGCUGAGACGCGAAAGCGUGGGGAGCGAACAGG